rnacentral:lncRNA from 1 species
UGGCCCUUUGCACAGGCAGGAGCCAGGUCACUGAAGAGUUUGUAUUGGCAGAUCCUGUGCUCGGUCCUCAGCGACGGAGGGUGGACUCGGCCAGAGGUGGGCUCGAGUCCCGCACCUACUGCGCCACCCCAUGCCUCACGGGUGUGAGAGCUGGACCUGGCCGAAGGUGGGCCGGGGUUGAAGGAAGCGGCCUGCAUGAUCCGCCGGGACCCCAACCCAUCGUCUGGAAGAGCCCACUCUCCCUGGAAGAAAGACCAUCCUUGAAGAGGAUGACUGAGACGCUAUGGGCCAUGCACUGUGUGUCUGUUCCCGGGGAACUGUCAUCAUUGACAAUAAGCGUUACCUCUUCGUCCAGAAAUUGGGGGAGGGGUGAGUGUAUGGAAGUCACUUAGCUAGACCCAGGUCAUUUAGGGGCAGUAAUAGGGACACAAGAGUAUUAGCCUUAGAUUCUACCUCACCUGACCGGUUAGCUGAAUAGGUCAAGAAUUGUAUUCUAGGCCCUGGCCUCCUGAAUCUACUUUGUGUGACCUUAAGUAAACUGGUUUCUUCUGCUUAAACGGAGAUGAUUAUAAUGUCUCACUGAGGGACUGGUGAGAAAACUAAGUUAGAUAGUAUAUUCUUUAAAACAUGUCACCCAGUGCCUGGCUCAUGAGCACUUACUAAAUUUUGAUUGUUACUUGAAAUUAAUUGAGCAUCUUAUGCUCAGACCAAAGGGUCUCAGUGAUUUCUGUGCCCC